ACACUAAAAAUAUGUGAAUUCAAAUUAUAUUAAUAUUAUUAAAUAUUACUAUUAAGUCCAUCUUCUUUAUAAUAGUACUAUCAAAAUUCCGAAUUAAGUAAAUAUUGUAACUCGCCUCACAUUCUUACCUAUGAGCUGCACCUUGAUUUGUAUAGUUAUGUUUUGUUUAUUUUUUAAGCUCACCAGAAGGUAAAGUUCAAUACAACGGUAUACAAGCUUUGUAAGAUAAGUAGAUUAUACUUGGUGGUUAUCAAUUAUAUGGUAAGUUCCCCUAAUUUUUUUUUUUAGCCGCCAUAUUAUUUAAAUUUGAACUUUAAUUAAAAUAGUUGUAGUCUUUAUAUUAAGUAACAUAGUUCUUUAUAAUUGGGUAUCUAAUCCAAGUUUAUUAAUUAGAAUUUUAUAUUAUUUAAAUUAUAAACGGUAACAUUUACAUUAUGUAUUUCACUACAAUAAUAAAAAAUAAAUAAAUUUGUCAAGUUAUUAUAACUGUUUAACAUCUUAAUACAUAAUAGCUAAAUUUUCCUAUUAGGUUUGACCGCGGUUGCUGGCACCUAAUUAACCAAGGAUAAGUAGUUAUCUAAAUUUAAUUUUCAUUAAUAGGUUUAAAAUUAUUAACUGGGUAAUUUAUUUAUUUCCCCAUAUAAAGCUAUACUAUCAAUUUAUUCAAUCAUCGGAAUAAAGUGUUUUUACAGGGGUGUUUAGUCCAUUUUAGG
rnacentral:rRNA from 1 species